UUGGAGGGCAAGUCUGGUGCCAGCAGCCGCGGUAAUUCCAGCUCCAAUAGCGUAUAUUAAAGUUGUUGCAGUUAAAAAGCUCGUAGUUGAAUUUCGGGGUUAGUAGGUUGGUCAUGCCUCUGGUAUGCACUGGUCUCGCUGAUUCCUCCUUCCUGAUGAGCCGUAAUGCCAUUAAUUUGGUGUUGCGGGGAAUUUGGACUGUUACUUUGAAAAAAUUAGAGUGUUUAAGCAAGCUAACGCUUGAAUACAUUAGCAUGGAAUAAUGAAAUAGGACGUUCGAUCCUAUUUUGUUGGUUUCUAGGAUUGACAUAAUGAUUAAUAGGGAUAGUUGGGGGCAUUAGUAUUCAAUUGUCAGAGGUGAAAUUCUUGGAUUUAUUGAAGACUAACUACUGCGAAAGCAUUUGCCAAGGAUGUUUUCAUUAAUCAAGAACGAAAGUUAGGGGAUCGAAGACGAUCAGAUACCGUCGUAGUCUUAACCAUAAACUAUGCCGACUAGGGAUCGGAUGAUGUUAAUUUUUUAAUGACUCAUUCGGCGCCUUACGGGAAACCAAAGUGUUUGGGUUC
rnacentral:rRNA from 1 species